ensembl:lincRNA
GUGCAGCACGAGGGGCUGCCAGAGCCUCUCACCCUGAGAUGGGAGUCGUCUUCCCAGCCCACCGUCCCUCUUGUGGGCAUUGUUGCUGGCCUGGUUGUCCUUGGAGCUGUGGUCACUGGAGCUGUGGUCGCUGCUGUGAUGUGGAGGAAGAAGAUCCUCAGAUAGAAACAGAGAGAGCUGCUCUCAGACUGCAAUGUGAGGUAGCCGCCUUGUGUGGUACUGAGAAGCAAGAUUUGUUCACGCCUCCCUUUUGUGAUUUCAAGUACCCUGAAUUCUCUUUCUGCAAACGUGUCAAAAUGUGUCUUCAUCCCUGUUAGUAUAAUGUGAGAAGGUGGGCACCAGUCCACCCCCGUGUCCUCCAUGACCCCCUUCCCCGCACGGCCCCAUGUUGUUUCUACCCAAUGAUCUUUCCUGUUCCAGAGACAUGGGGCUUGGAUGUCUUUAUCUCUGUCUGAACUUCAUGCUGCACUGAGCUGCAAUUUCCUACUUCCCUAUUAAAAUUAGAAUCUGAGUAUAAAUUUACUUCUUCAAAUUCUUGCCAUGGGAGGUUGAUGAGUUAAUUAAAGGAGGAGAUCACUAAAGUUUAACAGACAAAAUAAAUGGAAGACUUGAGAACCUUCCAGAGUCUAUGUGUUUCUUCUACUGAUCUGUUGCAGAGGAUGAGAAUAGAUGGGCUGUGGCUGGUGGGAGCUCAGGCCACUGUGGGCUUUAUGUGGUCACUGCUCGCCUGUGUCAUCUUUGCUGCUCCAAUGGCCUUGGUCCUUCAGUAGAACCUUGUCCCACCAGGGCCUGUGAUCACAGGGACUCAGAUGUCAUUUAGGGCAGUCCCUGCACACAGAAGUCCUUGUGGUAUCAAGAGACUAAGUUUUCAGACCUGUCCAGUGCUUGCCCUCCUUCUAGGGCUCUUCCUGGAUUGUAUUUUCCAUCUUUUCACCAGCCUUCUUACAGGAACCAGAUUCUGAUAUUUGCAGAGAGGAGGGGGCCCAUAGUUUCUCAUCAUAGGUAACUUUCUGUUGGAACUCCUUCUGCUCUCUCUCCUACUCUUCUUCCUGCCCUGAGUUGUAGUAAUCCUAGUGUGGGCUCCAAUACAAACCCAUGGAUUUGUAAAACAGUGUCCAAAUUAGAUUUAUAUGCAGUUGAAAAAUUAGACUUAUAAUCCUAGGAUUAUCUUUCUUGAAGAGAGACAUAUGAUUGUGUGCUGCCGUGUGCAGGAGGGUUGGUGUGGGAGGAGGGAUGAGGGGAGGGGGGCACACAAGCAGCGCUGGUGACAAAAGCGCUCGUGGCACUGAUGUCGGCCUGAGAGGAUGUUGUGNNNNNNNNNNCUGGAUUGUAUUUUCCAUCUUUUCACCAGCCUUCUUACAGGAACCAGAUUCUGAUAUUUGCAGAGAGGAGGGGGCCCAUAGUUUCUCAUCAUAGGUAACUUUCUGUUGGAACUCCUUCUGCUCUCUCUCCUACUCUUCUUCCUGCCCUGAGUUGUAGUAAUCCUAGUGUGGGCUCCAAUACAAACCCAUGGAUUUGUAAAACAGUGUCCAAAUUAGAUUUAUAUGCAGUUGAAAAAUUAGACUUAUAAUCCUAGGAUUAUCUUUCUUGAAGAGAGACAUAUGAUUGUGUGCUGCCGUGUGCAGGAGGGUUGGUGUGGGAGGAGGGAUGAGGGGAGGGGGGCACACAAGCAGCGCUGGUGACAAAA